AACGAACGCUGGCGGCAGGCCUAACACAUGCAAGUCGAACGCUCCGCAAGGGGAGUGGCAGACGGGUGAGUAACGCGUGGGAACGUGCCCUAAGGUACGGAAUAACUUCGGGAAACUGAAGCUAACACCGUAUGUGACCGAGAGGUGAAAGUUUAUCGCCUUAGGAUCGGCCCGCGUCAGAUUAGCUAGUUGGUGGGGUGAUGGCCUACCAAGGAGACGAUCUGUAGCUGUUCUGAGAGGAAGAUCAGCCACACUGGGACUGAGACACGGCCCAGACUCCUACGGGAGGCAGCAGUGGGGAAUCUUGGACAAUGGGCGCAAGCCUGAUCCAGCCAUGCCGCGUGGAUGAUGAAGGCCUUAGGGUUGUAAAAUCCUUUCGCCGAGGGCGAUAAUGACGGUACUCGGAGAAGAAGCUCCGGCUAACUUCGUGCCAGCAGCCGCCGUAACAC
rnacentral:rRNA from 1 species